UGCGAGAGCGGCGUGUGGCUCCAGAACCACACCCAGAGACUCACAGUCUGUGCGAUAUGGGAUAUAAAGCAGUAAAUCCUGCCCACAGGAUCGGGGAAAGCCGCCCUUCGAAUUGCGUCGGCGUCGAUAGUUUAGACUCAAGCGCCGCGACGCGAGCUAUCAGAUCACCACCAAACCUCCGCUGAGAAAGACGUGUCCGCUCCGCCACCGCAGCAUCCACCCUUUUCAAUCUACGGGACGUGCAAGGAAUUUACAGACCCCGGUGUACAACAUGGCUUCGAGGGAAGAUCGGGCUCUUGGGAAUACGCUCCAACUUGACGCUAGCACUCCCGAGGGAUCGCGGCUGCGGAAAGGUGAUGGAGAUGAUGGAUCUUCCUUUGAAGACAGAAUGUUAAACCCCCUGUACGUAUACUGAAUGUAUCCUGAGUGUUUUCUGUCCGGUAUACCUUCAGUAUACGUAACAGGAGGCCACAUUUCUACGAGGAGGCGUCCAGGACUGACCUGCUCAACCAGGAUAAGGCUUAGAUAAGUCCUGUAUUUUUAGAGAUGAGCAUGAUUGUUAUUUGCCAGAUCUGUACAGACUCGUUGUAUAUGUUAGAGAAAAUAAACUUUGUACCACACCAACUUUUCAUAGUGUUAACAUUGUUAGCAGAAUUCUUGGCUGAUGAGUAAGCAGGGAGAUAGUAAAUGAGCAGUUACAAAAUUAGAAUGAAUAAGAGCAAAACUUGUUAAUUUCACUUCUAAGACAAGCGUUCAAGCAACUGUAGUUAAUUCUGUGAUUCAUUAACAUUGUACUUCCUCAAAUACACUACUCUAGCGUUAGCAAAAUGUGUACGAUUUUAACAUCAAUAAAAUACGACUCAAAUUUUAA